rnacentral:antisense_RNA from 1 species
CUUCAACGAGCCGAGCCAGAGCGGCCGUUCGGCAGGCCGCUGACGGCCGUAGGUAGCGAGCCGCGCCUGCGCCUC